rnacentral:rRNA from 1 species
GACGAACGCUGGCGGCGUGCUUAACACAUGCAAGUCGAACGGAAAGGCCCUGCUUUUGUGGGGUGCUCGAGUGGCGAACGGGUGAGUAACACGUGAGUAACCUGCCCUUGACUUUGGGAUAACUUCAGGAAACUGGGGCUAAUACCGGAUAGGAGCUCCUGCUGCAUGGUGGGGGUUGGAAAGUUUCGGCGGUUGGGGAUGGACUCGCGGCUUAUCAGCUUGUUGGUGGGGUAGUGGCUUACCAAGGCUUUGACGGGUAGCCGGCCUGAGGGGGUGACCGGCCACAUUGGGACUGAGAUACGGCCCAGACUCCUACGGGAGGCAGCAGCGGGGAAUAUUGCACAAUGGGCGGAAGCCUGAUGCAGCAACGCCGCGUGCGGGAUGACGGCCUUCGGGUUGUAAACCGCUUUCGCCUGUGACGAAGCGUGAGUGACGGUAAUGGGUAAAGAAGCACCGGCUAACUACGUG